CGCAAGGGGUUUGCGAUUACCCCGUGAGGCGCCAGCCGAAGUAUCGCGUCCAUUGUCAAUCCAGGACGCACGCCAUG
rfam:Devosia riboflavina strain IFO13584 contig20, whole genome shotgun sequence.